AUUGAACGCUAGCGGGAUGCUUUACACAUGCAAGUCGAACGGCAGCGCGGACUUCGGUCUGGCGGCGAGUGGCGAACGGGUGAGUAAUGUAUCGGAACGUGCCCAGUAGCGGGGGAUAACUACGCGAAAGCGUAGCUAAUACCGCAUACGCCCUACUGGGGAAAGCAGGGGAUCGUAAGACCUUGCACUAUUGGAGCGGCCGAUAUCGGAUUAGCUAGUUGGUGAGGUAACGGCUCACCAAGGCGACGAUCCGUAGCUGGUUUGAGAGGGCGACCAGCCACACUGGAACUGAGACACGGCCCAGACUCCUACGGGAGGCAGCAGUGGGGAAUUUUGGGCAAUGGGGGCAACCCUGAUCCAGCCAUCCCGCGUGUGAGAUGAAGGCCUUCGGGUUGUAAAGCACUUUUGGCAGGAAAGAAACGUCGCGGGCUAAUACCCCGUGGAACUGACGGUACCUGCAGAAUAAGCACCGGCUAACUACGUG
rnacentral:rRNA from 1 species